AACGAACGCUGGCGGCAUGCCUAACACAUGCAAGUCGAACGAGACCUUCGGGUCUAGUGGCGCACGGGUGCGUAACGCGUGGGAAUCUGCCCUUGGGUUCGGAAUAACAGUUGGAAACGACUGCUAAUACCGGAUGAUGACGUAAGUCCAAAGAUUUAUCGCCCAAGGAUGAGCCCGCGUAGGAUUAGCUAGUUGGUGAGGUAAAGGCUCACCAAGGCGACGAUCCUUAGCUGGUCUGAGAGGAUGAUCAGCCACACUGGGACUGAGACACGGCCCAGGCUCCUACGGGAGGCAGCAGUGGGGAAUAUUGGACAAUGGGCGAAAGCCUGAUCCAGCAAUGCCGCGUGAGUGAUGAAGGCCUUAGGGUUGUAAAGCUCUUUUACCCGGGAUGAUAAUGACAGUACCGGGAGAAUAAGCUCCGGCUAACUCCGUG
rnacentral:rRNA from 1 species